CAGUAGCCACGGGAAUACGAGGGGGGCAAGCGUUGUUCGGAAUCACUGGGCGUAAAGGGUGCGUAGGCGGGUCUUUAAGUCAGGGGUGAAAUCCUGGAGCUCAACUCCAGAACUGCCUUUGAUACUGAAGAUCUUGAGUUCGGGAGAGGUGAGUGGAACUGCGAGUGUAGAGGUGAAAUUCGUAGAUAUUCGCAAGAACACCAGUGGCGAAGGCGGCUCACUGGCCCGAUACUGACGCUGAGGCACGAAAGCGUGGGGAGCAAACAGGAUUAGAUACCCCUGUAGUCCCUGUCUCUUAUAA
rnacentral:rRNA from 1 species